UUGAAAUUCAAUCUUGUCAUGGUCAGUAGGAAUUUUCCGCCUAAUUGGGAAUCCUUUGCUUUGCAGGUGCGAGACAAUUCUUCAGCCUGGCUUAAUCUGCACAAUACGAAUUUAAAAGAAUCGAGCAAAGGCAAGGCACCGGGACAAGAAGUUUUAUACAUCGAUGAAGAAUAAUGUGGUGUACAAAUGCCACCACUGUUCACAUUUUAAACAAAAAAGAGGAACUCCUAAAGGCCUGAAGGAAAUAUGCCCACCCAAGCCCACGCCGGCUGCUAAAUCAAAAUCUGCCAAGUCCAUGCUUCAAAAGUCUGCCAACUCGGAGGAAGGCACAAGUAGCAAAGAUGAGAUAAUCAAGAUACACGAGACAACUUUGCCUGCAAUUAAUGGAUACUUCCACCAUGAACAGUCUAGCAAUUCCAUUUGCGAGAGUUAAGACAAACGAGAUAAUUAAGAUUGACGAGACUGCUUUAACUGGUAAAUAUCGGUAAGCACUUACAUCACAAACAGUCCAGCAACUCCACAACCAAGCAACAAAUUUUCUCUGUUGGAUGCAAAGAAGAGAAAGAGAAAUAGAUCAGCAAACAAAAAAGAGCAGUCUGAAAGCAGUUCUGCUGCAAUGGAUGCGGGAAAAACUGUCAGCA
rnacentral:lncRNA from 1 species